UCAGGCAAUCUUGUUCCUCCUCUCGAGGCCUCUCAGCAGUAUUAAGCAUCCUAUUUGGAUUCCCAUCCCGCAUAGGGAUUUCACAACGCUGGCCACGAGCAUAGGUGACGGGCUCAUCCAUUGGCGUUUCUGGGGCCGACACGUUCGAAUGGUUGCUUCACUUUAUCCUCGGAUGAGUUGAGGCUGUGUUCGUGGGUCGUUUGUGCGGGUCAAUUUGUCGUUCAUUUCGCAAUUGUGGUUGCGGUUGCGGCCGUUGUGCGGUUCUCGGCUUCUGUUGGUGCUUCCCUGGGUAUCGUCGUAUGUUUCUCGAGAAUAAUCAUCCCCCGAGAAAUAACCC
rnacentral:sRNA from 1 species